rnacentral:rRNA from 1 species
GAUGAACGCUGGCGGCGUGCCUAAUACAUGCAAGUCGAGCGAACAGACGAGGAGCUUGCUCCUCUGACGUUAGCGGCGGACGGGUGAGUAACACGUGGAUAACCUACCUAUAAGACUGGGAUAACUUCUGGAAACCGGAGCUAAUACCGGAUAAUAUAUUGAACCGCAUGGUUCAAUAGUGAAAGACGGUUUUGCUGUCACUUAUAGAUGGAUCCGCGCCGCAUUAGCUAGUUGGUAAGGUAACGGCUUACCAAGGCAACGAUGCGUAGACGACCUGAGAGGGUGAUAGGCCACACUGGAACUGAGACACGGUCCAGACUCCUACGGGAGGCAGCAGUAGGGAAUCGUACGCAAUGGGCGAAAGCUUGACGGAGCAACGCCGCGUGAGUGAUGAAGGUCUUCGGAUCGUAAAACUCUGUUAUUAGGGAAGAACAAAUGUGUAAGUAAAAAUGCACGUCUUGACGGUACCUAAUCAGAAAGCCACGGCUAACUACGUG